rnacentral:rRNA from 14 species
GCGAUCGGUGGAUGCCUUGGCACCAAGAGCCGAUGAAGGACGUUGUGACCUGCGAUAAGCCCUGGGGAGUUGGUGAGCGAGCUGUGAUCCGGGGGUGUCCGAAUGGGGAAACCUGGAAUGUCCGGAGUAGUGUCCGGUGGCCCUGCCCUGAAUGUAUAGGGGUGUGGGUGGUAACGCGGGGAAGUGAAACAUCUUAGUACCCGUAGGAAGAGAAAACAAGUGUGAUUCCGUGAGUAGUGGCGAGCGAAAGCGGAGGAGGCUAAACCGUGUGUGUGUUCAAGCCGGCAGGUGUUGCAUGUGCGGGGUUGUGGGGGCCUUGUGGUUCUGCUGCCGCAGGAUUGGCCAGUGAGAAAUGUUGCGUGAAGGUGAAGCGUCUGGGAAGGCGUACCGGAGUGGGUGAGAGUCCUGUAACUGUAAGCGUGGCACUGGUGUGGGGUUGCCCCGAGUAGCGUGGGACUCGUGGAAUUUCGCGUGAAUCUGGCGGGACCACCCGUCAAGCCUAAAUACUCCUUGGUGACCGAUAGUGGAUGAGUACCGUGAGGGAAGGGUGAAAAGUACCCCGGGAGGGGAGUGAAAGAGUUCCUGAAACCGGUCGCAUGCAAGCCGUCAGAGCCUGUGUGGUGAUGGCGUGCCUUUUGAAGAAUGAGCCUGCGAGUUAGUGAUGCGUGGCGAGGUUAACCCGUGGUGGGGGAGUCGUAGCGAAAGCGAGUCCGAUAAGGGCGUGAGUCGCGUGUUCUAGACCCGAAGCGGUGUGAUCUAUCCAUGGCCAGGAUGAAGCGUCGGUAAGACGUCGUGGAGGUCCGAACCCACUUCAGUUAAAAAUGGAGGGGAUGAGUUGUGGAUAGGGGUGAAAGGCCAAUCAAACACCGUGAUAGCUGGUUCUCCCCGAAAUGCAUUUAGGUGCAGCGUUGCGUGGUUCUUGUUGGAGGUAGAGCACUGGAUGGUCUAGGGGGCUUAUCGGCUUACCGAAAUCAGCCAAACUCCGAAUGCUGGCAAGUGUAGCGUGGCAGUGAGACGGCGGGGGAUAAGCUUCGUCGUCGAGAGGGAAACAGCCCAGAUCAUCAGCUAAGGCCCCUAAGUGGUGACUCAGUGGGAAAGGAUGUGGAGUUGCGUAGACAACCAGGAGGUUGGCUUGGAAGCAGCCAUCCUUGAAAGAGUGCGUAAUAGCUCACUGGGCUAGUGAUCCUGCGCCGAAAAU